rnacentral:rRNA from 1 species
GAUGAACGCUGGCGGCGUGCCUAAUACAUGCAAGUCGAGCGAACAGACGAGGAGCUUGCUCCUCUGACGUUAGCGGCGGACGGGUGAGUAACACGUGGAUAACCUACCUAUAAGACUGGGAUAACUUCGGGAAACCGGAGCUAAUACCGGAUAAUAUAUUGAACCGCAUGGUUCAAUAGUGAAAGACGGUUUUGCUGUCACUUAUAGAUGGAUCCGCGCCUCAUUAGCUAGUUGGUAAGGUAACGGCUUACCAAGGCAACGAUGCGUAGCCGACCUGAGAGAGUGAUCGGCCACACUGGAACUGAGACACGGUCAAGACUCCUACGGGAGGCAGCAGUAGGGAAUCUUCCGCAAUGGGCGAAAGCCUGACGGAGCAACGCCGCGUGAGUGAUGAAGGUCUUCGGAUCGUAAAACUCUGUUAUUAGGGAAGAACAAAUGUGUAAGUAACUAUGCACGUCUUGACGGUACCUAAUCAGAAAGCAACGGCUAACUACGUG